rnacentral:rRNA from 1 species
CGGCGGACGGGUGAGUAACGCGUGGGUAACCUGCCUCAUACAGGGAGAUAACAGUUGGAAACGGCUGCUAAUACCGCAUAAGCGCACAGUACCGCAUGGUACGGUGUGAAAAACUCCGGUGGUAUGAGAUGGACCCGCGUCUGAUUAGGUAGUUGGUGGGGUAACGGCCUACCAAGCCGACGAUCAGUAGCCGACCUGAGAGGGUGACCGGCCACACUGGGACUGAGACACGGCCCAG